rnacentral:rRNA from 1 species
GAUGAACGCUAGCUACAGGCUUAACACAUGCCAGUCGAGGGACCGGCGCACGGGUGAGUAACACGUAUCCAACCUGCCCUUUACUCGGGGGUAGCCUUUCGAAAGAAAGAUUAAUACCCGAUAUAAAGGAUGGGGAUGCGUUGCAUUAGGUUGUUGGUGAGGUAACGGCCGACAAAGCCUUCGAUGGAUAGGGGUUCUGCGAGGAAGGUCCCCCACAUUGGAACUGUGACACGGUCCAAACUCCUACGAGAGGCAGCAGUUAGGAAUAUUGGUCAAUGGGCGUUAGCCUGAACCAGCCAAGUAGCGUGAAGGAUGAAGGCUGAUGAAUCGUAAACUUCUUUUAUAUAAGAAUAUGUAUUAUAUGAAUAAGGAUCGGCUAACUCCGUGCCAGCAGCCGCGGUAAUUC